UUGUCGCGGGUUGCGAAGAUGC
rnacentral:siRNA from 1 species